rnacentral:misc_RNA from 1 species
UAGCCGCAAAAUCUGAGAACG